GUGCAGCAGUCGCGAAUAGUCUACAAUGGACGAAAGUCUGAUAGUGCGACGCCGUGUGUGCGAUUAAUUCCUCCGGGAUGUAAAGCACUUUUCUAUGAGGUAAAAGCUCUUUAGGUUAAUAGCUUAUUGAGACGGAUAUUAUUAUAGGAAUAAGCUCCGGGCUAACUCCGUGCCAAGCAGCCGCGGUAAUACGGAAGGAGCGAGCGUUGUCCGGAUUUACUAGGCGUAAAGGGCUAAGUAGGCGACUAAUUAAGUUAUAUGUUAAAUCCC
rnacentral:rRNA from 1 species